GUUGGUGGCUCAGUGGUUAAGUCGUUCGGGCUACUGAUCCGAAAAGUUGUGAGUUCAAAUCCCAGCAUUGACA